GACAGAGCCAUAUCUCUAUUCAGUUCUCACCUGGGUUCCCACUGAAGCUAAGCAGGGUUGAGUCUGGACAGUACCUGGAUUGGAGGCCUCCUGGGGAAAACUAAGGUUGCUGCUGGAA
ensembl:rRNA 5S_rRNA 5S ribosomal RNA